UCAUCAGGAUAAAUUAGAUUAAUACGGUCUAUUUUUAGGUCGCUACUUUGUUGUUAAUGAAAUGGUUGUGGGCAGCUGAUUUUGACUCAAUUCGACUGAUUCAUCUUAAAGAGUUCUCAAUUGGGAUGUCUUGAUUCCUGUUUCCAUGAACUGAAACUGCACUAACUGCAGGUUUAUUAAUCCGGUGGACGUUUAUGGCCACGUUAGAUGAAGAAACGAAAGGAACAGAUGACUAAUAAUGAGAAGUUGACUCUGUCCACAUUUACCAGCGGCGGAAUCACGAUAAAAGCGUUGACGUUCUUUGGUGUCUUAUCCUCUCGUUCUCCUGGGUGUCUCUUCGUUGUCGUGGAAAAUGGCUCUCAAAACUGACCUCCGAUAUCUGCUCAGCAGGAACCCUGUGGUGUCCACAGCCUCCUUUACCCUCGUUCUCUGGGCUGUCGAAAAGAUGGUGGAGCUGGACUUUGUGUGUCCAUGCGUCGAAAAAUGGAACAUGUGGUUUUUUGAGUUGUACUUAGCUGGGCCUUCUGUUGCCUGUUUGGCACUGAUGUGCUACUAUUUCAGACCGAUAUGUUUGUGGAGCGUCCUCUUUUGCCUUUCCCUGCCUUCGUUUUGGCUGCUGUUGAUCUUUUAUGAUGGUCGUUACCUUGCAUGUGGUCUCACUGACUCAAACCACAAUGUCACCAUCAUUAUUGACAAACAAAGUCCCUGGAAAGUAUGUGGGUCUAGCCGUGACGUGACACCAGGGACAAGACUUGAAGUUCCAGACUUUGUGGUGUGGAGUCGGUUCAUCGUCCUUGUCAUAGUUCUCGUCUUGUCCUUUUUGGGAGUAGUCGUGCAAAUGGUGGAACGGACAAAAGAGACCUUCAGCACAAAAUGGAAGCAGCCAGGGUGGCUUUCAACCACAUAUGAAGAUGUUGCCAAGGGCGUGUGUUAGAUGCUGGGCAGAUGCUUGCAACUCUUGCAAGCUUAUUGAAUCUUUCAGCAAUGAGCAAUCGAUACGAUUCAGAUCAGAUUUCAUUAGUUGUAUUCUUUUCUCAGUGCUACGCUGAAGUGCACUCUCUCGUCAGAUAAAUUGGUUUCAAGCCUCAGCGUUGUUGUACAUUGUAGCAAAAUGUAUUGUUUAUAGACAGUGUUUAUUGUACUGUUAUUCUUUUACAAGUGACUCUUAAUGAGUAAAUAAAUAACAACUUAUGCAUAAGUUCACUAA